rnacentral:lncRNA from 1 species
GCCCUCAUCAUGAUUUGACUGAAAUUGGAUCAAAAUUUUCUACACAUUUCAAGUUAGUGUCUCCAUAGAUUAGCCAUUGGUCCUUUUAGUAUUUCUCAAAUACUUAAGGUUUAUCUCUACAAUCUUUCAAUAGUUCUCAUUCGGAUCAAAUUGGUACCUACUCACUAUCUCUAGUGAAUAUACCACAUCCGACAUCAUACAUGUCUUGGCAUACAUGAUAAAUCCCACUACG